GCCAGUGUGGCCUAGUGGUUUAAGUGUUGGACUGCGACUCUAGAGACCAGGGUUUGAAUCCCAGGACAGCCA